UUGUUCAAUUAGAGGGGAGAUGGUUGAAGUUUCCCCUGACAGGGGCGGGAACAGCUUUUCCCCGUGAACACAUAUGGAUAAAGUUUUUAUCUAUUUAGUUUUUUUU